rnacentral:lncRNA from 1 species
GAAAAAACAGCACAGUCUGCCCCACACUUUGGGCUGUAAACCUGGACUCCUGACAGGAUCCUGUGGACAGAGAGGGCUGCAGGAGGAAACAGGGGGUGCUUAGAAAUACAGCUUGUUGCCAGUGUAAUGAGGAGUGCCUUGGCGACUGUGCCCGUGGGACAGGCCUUCUCUCGCUUUGUGUGCAGAACAGGAAGAGCCGCGCUCUGGCUCUGUGGACUGUGACCACUCAGCGGGCGUUGGAGGACGGCACCUGGAUGCAGAUGCCCCUCUUGCCAUGGGGCCAGGAAGGACACCAGGGAGUCGAUGGUCUUGCGGCUUUUGGUGCUGAUCUUCUCAAUCAACUGAUCCAUGGUUCUGUUACUGGGAACACAAACUAGCACAGGCCUGUUGCCUUGCUGAGUAAACCACGCAACCAGCAUCGUGUAUUCCACAGAAACUGCAGGCAUAUACUAUGGAGAUCCUUCCUGGAAUAGGUAUCUUCUUCAUCUUCUUGGAAGUUCAACUCCUCCAACAACUGGCUGGUCUUGGCCACACUCUGGUCCAUGGCCACAUGCUGCAGGAUGCUCUAGUCUCCUGACCUGCAGAACCAGCUGUCUGGCUGCAGAGCUCACUCUGACCCGGCCUCCUUCGAUGCCACCUCUGAGGUUGCUGGGGGGCUUCUGCAUCUGGCUGGGGAGGGUGAAGUUGGUGAAGUCGAACUUGGAGCCCUGCUGUGCGGGUCAAGCAGCUCGGCUGCCUUGGAUGUCCAGGAAGCUGAAUGCCCACUAUCUGGGCCAGUAGCCUCCAUGCUCAUGGUGCCGCCCCAUAGGGCCCUCAGGCCAGUGCUGCGCCACACUCAAGUCUGCCACCAUGAUGAGGUGGAGGCGUGGCUCCUGCACUCCUGGACAGAACUGAGAUGCCUGCCGCAGCGUGACCUGGACCAAAAGACACGUGCAGGGAGCCCGUGCCGUUCUCCUAGGAGUCGUCCUCCCUCACAGUCCCCAGAAGGAAGCACUAACACCGCCCCCUGUCAUAAGUAGUUUUAAUUUUGCCUUUUUUAGCAGAUGUGAGGUGGC